AUUGAACGCUGGCGGCAUGCUUUACACAUGCAAGUCGAACGGUAACAGGGUGCUUGCACCGCUGACGAGUGGCGAACGGGUGAGUAAUGCGUCGGAACGUGCCGAGUAGUGGGGGAUAACGUAGCGAAAGUUGUGCUAAUACCGCAUACGUACUGAGGUAGAAAGUGGGGGACCUUCGGGCUUCAUGCUAUUCGAGCGGCCGAAGUCUGAUUAGCUAGUAGGUGAGGUAAAGGCUCACCUAGGCGACGAUCAGUAGCGGGUCUGAGAGGAUGAUCCGCCACACUGAGACUGAGACACGGCCCAGACUCCUACGGGAGGCAGCAGUGGGUAAUUUUGGACAAUGGGCGAAAGCCUGAUCCAGCCAUGCCGCGUGUCUGAAGAAGGCCUUCGGGUUGUAAAGGACUUUUGUCAGGGAGGAAAUCCCUAGUGCUAAUAACACUGGGGGAUGACAGUACCUGAAGAAUAAGCACCGGCUAACUACGUGCCAGCCGCCGCGGUAA
rnacentral:rRNA from 1 species